rnacentral:lncRNA from 1 species
CCCAGGUUAGCCUCAACCUCUAGAUCUUCCUGCUUGUGGAACAGUUGGAAUUACAAGCAUGUCCCACUGGGCCAAACUUAAAUCAGCCUCUUAAAAGGCUCCCUAGGUGAUAAUGUUGUGAAGGAUUGGAAACCCACAGUGACAGUUCCCCACAGCUCCUCCAAUUUUCACCUACAUUGUUAGAUUAAUUGUACUUAUCUCUCAGAGUGGAGGCUCUAUGUUUCCUGGGUCUGAGUGCCCUGGAAAGGACUAAAUCAAAGCCGUGCCCAUCACCCCGGACACACAAACUCUUCCAUCUGCUUCUUUGAUGUGGCCUUUGGACCACUCACCAAAGCCAUGAAUGGUUAGACAGUCCCCGUCUCUGCUAAAUCUGUGUAAAUGGGAGAAGGAACAUUCCUUUCAUUGUCUAAGGCAAUAAAUCCUAAGCGGGAAGAUAUAAAACCCAAGGUCACGGGAGUUCUGAGAACAGGCACCUAAACUGCCAGAAAUGGAACUCCUGAGGCUCCCUGAGGAAAGUUAUGGUUCAGUUCAGUAUCAAACAAGGAACAAAAAAAAAAAAAAAAAAAAAAAGGAAGAGCUAUCCUAAAGGCUGACUAUGAGUCAGCAAGUCUCCUUAAAGUCUAUUUAAAGGUGAGAACCUGGGGUUAGGAAAAAAAUUAAAUAAGCUGACACAUUUACUUCUCCUAAAUGGUGGAGAUGACAGACUCCUGUGACUUUCCUACACAGCUGGACAUGCAAGCUGGUGAUUUUGUUGCUAUUGUGAAAACAUCCCUGAGAUCAAACGUGACAAAGUUGGGAGAAUUUUCCUGAGAGCCUCAAGCACACUAUGUGACUGAGAUGAUCAAUGCCCUUCAUUGCAUCCCUCAAGAGAUGAUCCACCUUAGCCAAACACUCCGGAUGGACCCCCAGCCUCUUCUCUGAGUCAUCGUGCACUCCCCAGCAUACUGUUGCUUACUAGUUGAGUCAUUUGGAUGGAUGCUGACAGUUGGCUCCAUCUUAGGCAGAGAUAAGAAGUGAUGAGCAACUGAUCAAGCACAGACUCCAACCGGGCAGAACAAAGAAGCCUUUGUGUGGUGUGCAUAUUUUCCCCAGAAAACUGUGCAGACUUAAGGGCAGCAUUGUUCAGUAGUCAGUUUAAAGAGAUUUGCACACCAAGCUAAGAGUUUGUUGUAUUUUGUUUUCUAUUGCUAUCAAUUAAACAAGACAAUCAAUUUUUGUUAAUGACACUUUUCUUUUCUAGUUUUCUUAAUUAUUU